rnacentral:rRNA from 1 species
AUGAUGCCCUUGGGAAUGUACCGGCACCACCCCACGGGCGAGUACCGGAUACUGCUGUAUGAUAAAAAUGAGGAAGAAGUUGAGGAAAUAUAUGUCCGUGAUGGUGGUUGCUGCAUCUUUGAAUUGGGUUCCGUACGUCCAGCCAUCAAGGAACAUCGGGUGCCCGCCCGAGGCGGAACAGGUGCUUUCACGCUGUGGGCAUGGGGCAACUGUCUUGUUACGUGGCAACAUGCAUUGGUACCUAGAGCAACGUGA